rnacentral:rRNA from 1 species
CGUGAGGAACCUACCUUCAAAGUGGGGGAAUAACUCGCAGAAAUGCGAGCUAAUACCGCAUGUGGUUGCGAAGUGGCAUCACUUUGCACCUAAAGAUUUAUCGCUUGGAGACGGCCUCGCGGCCUAUUAGCUAGUUGGUGGGGUAACGGCCUACCAAGGCGAUGAUGGGUAGCUGGUCUGAGAGGACGAUCAGCCACACUGGGACUGAGACACGGCCCAG